rnacentral:rRNA from 1 species
GUCUACAGCCAUGCCACUCUGAACAAGCCUAAUGUCUGAUCUCAGAAGCUACGCAGUGUCGGGCCUGGUUAAUACUUGGAUGGGAGACUAACUAGAGAGACCAGAUGCUGUAGGCA